AUUCAAAUAGCUUAAAGUGAGAGUAUAACAUUGAAGUUGUUAGGGAGGUUAAUUAAUCUUUGAAUA
rnacentral:tRNA from 1 species